CUGCGGGUGGCCUGUCCUCCACGGGGCCAGACCCACGGGGUGGAGGCACUCGCGAAGGAAGGAGAACCCCAAAGCUGUUCCGCUCCCUUUUUUCUCCCUGGGCUAACGAGGGCAGCCAAAGGAAUCGCCCAGCACCUCGUUAGGUGGUUAAUUGCAGAGGUGGGGCCUCAGCAAAGCGUCUGCAACUGGGGAUGGAGAGGACUCACCCAAGCCUGGGCAGGGAAGGGGGUUUCCUCUGGGGUCUCCUCCUCAGAGCAUCCCCAGGGACAAAGGGGUGGCCACCUCGGGCUUGGGAAGCCCCUCUCCCUCCACUCCCCGGGGGUUGCCACCUUUUCCCCACUCCAUUGGUGAAGCCACCUCGUUGAGCAAGAGGGGACCGAUGAGAUUUCCAUGAACAAACUUCCUGCAGGGAGCAAAGGGCGGCCAGGACCACGUCCCUGCCCGAUCACCACCACCUCCUGGGGACGUACGCACAGAGAAGGGACCGCUAACUGGUGGCCACGGGGAGGAGGAGGAGGGCAAGCCCAGGCUGAAGGAGGCGAUGGCGGCCACCACGGUGACCGAUUCUGGGGGUGUGAGGAUCAUCACGGAGGUCAUCCCGCCCACAGACCCCCGAGCAGCCCAGCUGGCUUCUGGUUCCAAGCCACCCGCCUCCACCAUGUUGUCGUUUCAAGUCCAAGGCUUCAGAAAAGCUCAUCCCAAGGCGCUGGGGACCAUCCAUAUCUUCACUGGGAUCGUCCACAUCUGCUUCGGGAUCAUCCUGACGUUGUCAGAGAGAGGGACCUAUUCCAUCCCUGUGGCCAGCGGGGUCCUCUUCUGGCUCGGGCUCCUGGUGAAGACCUGCUGCGUCAUCAACGUGGGUGUCAUCCUCAGCACGCUGGUGGCCACCCUCCUCCACACCACGGCCAUCACCCGCGACAUCCCCGGCUGCGAGCACAACACGCAGUACCAGCUGAGACCCGACUGGUGCUCGGACAUCGAGAACAAGAUGCUGAGCAACUGGCUGGACUCCAUGUUGGUCAUCUUCUGCCUCCUGGAGUUCUGCACGGCGGUGGCAGCCCUGGCCUUCGGCUACAACGCCGUCAAGCAGCACAACUACACACGGAUGGCGCUGUAGCCACGGCGGAGCCCGCAGCCAUCCCGUUAAGAACCACCGGACGCCCCAGCCCCGCUGCAGCCGAGGUGUUGAGGCCCAGUGGGGCCUCCUCGGUACCGGAUGGUGGAGCCAGAUGGAGCCCAAGGCCCCUCCGUGCCCCCGGGCCUAGGCCUGGCCCUGGGAAGGAGGCCUCUCUCUGA
rnacentral:lncRNA from 1 species